UUGACCUCGGCUCAGGUAGG
rnacentral:misc_RNA from 1 species